rnacentral:rRNA from 1 species
GGCGCGCGAUACAGGGUGACAGCCCCGUACACAAAAAUACACAUACUGUGAGCUCGAUGAGUAGGGCGGGACACGUGGUAUCCUGUCUGAAUAUGGGGGGACCAUCCUCCAAGGCUAAAUACUCCUGACUGACCGAUAGUGAACCAGUACCGUGAGGGAAAGGCGAAAAGAACCCCGGCGAGGGGAGUGAAAAAGAACCUGAAACCGUGUACGUACAAGCAGUGGGAGCACAGAGCAAUCUGUGUGACUGCGUACCUUUUGUAUAAUGGGUCAGCGACUUAUAUUCUGUAGCAAGGUUAACCGAAUAGGGGAGCCGAAGGGAAACCGAGUCUUAACUGGGCGUUAAGUUGCAGGGUAUAGACCCGAAACCCGGUGAUCUAGCCAUGGGCAGGUUGAAGGUUGGGUAACACUAACUGGAGGACCGAACCGACUAAUGUUGAAAAAUUAGCGGAUGACUUGUGGCUGGGGGUGAAAGGCCAAUCAAACCGGGAGAUAGCUGGUUCUCCCCGAAAGCUAUUUAGGUAGCGCCUCGUGAAUUCAUCUCCGGGGGUAGAGCACUGUUUCGGCAAGGGGGUCAUCCCGACUUACCAACCCGAUGCAAACUGCGAAUACCGGAGAAUGUUAUCACGGGAGACACACGGCGGGUGCUAACGUCCGUCGUGAAGAGGGAAACAACCCAGACCGCCAGCUAAGGUCCCAAAGUCAUGGUUAAGUGGGAAACGAUGUGGGAAGGCCCAGACAGCCAGGAUGUUGGCUUAGAAGCAGCCAUCAUUUAAAGAAAGCGUAAUAGCUCACUGGUCGAGUCGGCCUGCGCGGAAGAUGUAACGGGGCUAAACCAUGCACCGAAGCUGCGGCAGCGACACUAUGUGUUGUUGGGUAGGGGAGCGUUCUGUAAGCCUGUGAAGGUGUGCUGUGAGGCAUGCUGGAGGUAUCAGAAGUGCGAAUGCUGACAUAAGUAACGAUAAAGCGGGUGAAAAGCCCGCUCGCCGGAAGACCAAGGGUUCCUGUCCAACGUUAAUCGGGGCAGGGUGAGUCGACCCCUAAGGCGAGGCCGAAAGGCGUAGUCGAUGGGAAACAGGUUAAUAUUCCUGUACUUGGUGUUACUGCGAAGGGGGGACGGAGAAGGCUAUGUUGGCCGGGCGACGGUUGUCCCGGUUUAAGCGUGUAGGCUGGUUUUCCAGGCAAAUCCGGAAAAUCAAGGCUGAGGCGUGAUGACGAGGCACUACGGUGCUGAAGCAACAAAUGCCCUGCUUCCAGGAAAAGCCUCUAAGCAUCAGGUAACAUCAAAUCGUACCCCAAACCGACACAGGUGGUCAGGUAGAGAAUACCAAGGCGCUUGAGAGAACUCGGGUGAAGGAACUAGGCAAAAUGGUGCCGUAACUUCGGGAGAAGGCACGCUGAUAUGUAGGUGAAGCGACUUGCUCGUGGAGCUGAAAUCAGUCGAAGAUACCAGCUGGCUGCAACUGUUUAUUAAAAACACAGCACUGUGCAAACACGAAAGUGGACGUAUACGGUGUGACGCCUGCCCGGUGC